UCUCACUAACAUUGGGCAAAGGUGCACAAAUGUCCCAAAUAAUAUUUUUUCGAUAUCAUACUUUUGUCCUAUAUUUUUUUCCUACAAAAGUACACCUAAUUUUACCAAUUUUAAUUCAACUGUGCCCAUGACUCUUAACGAAUAUGCCACCGAAACUAACAUGACUGACACGUAAUGGCCAAAAUAAUAUUUAAUAAACAAAAUAUUUCGCAUAUGCAUCACCGCCUCCUUCCUCUAUUUUCUCCAUCUCUUGAUCGAUCCUUUGCACCACCACCACUGUCUCCAUUUUCAAAGUUUCUAGCAAACUUAAUGAAUACUUUUUCUUAAUACCAGAACCCCCAUGACCAAAACCUAUGAAAAUCCACUUGCCAAAUUCUUCUAUAACUUGACCCAAUUCAAAUAUUUCAACAAAUUGACAAUGAAAUUGUGGAAAAUCCCGGCUACUGAUUCAGACCCACAACAACGUUUGUUCCUAAAGUCCAAUAAUUGAGUAGUGGGUACUCUGUAUAUCUCCAACGUGACUUGUCGGUCGGAGUUGCCAAAAUAUUGAUCGGUCGUUUAAAAUUGAUCUCCAACAGUUAAAAUAGAAACCCAAAGAACAAUCGUUUAAACAUUAACCAUGAAAAUGCCUGCAUAGGGGUACCAUUUUCUUUUGAUGGAGGUGCAGAAGAUUCAUCCAUCCCUGAAUCUAGUGAACGGGUCGAGAUCGAUGAAUUAACAGGAGCAACAGUGAUAGUGGGGGACUGUAGACGAAGAAUUGGGUGCAGCAGAGACGUGCGUGCUUUGUAGAACGCGUGGUUGCACCAGAUGCAGAAGAAGAAGGGCCUAAUGAGGUGACCUCCGUCCGCUUCCGCUUUGAGUUUCCAUACAACCCAACCCCCUUAAAAUCACUAAUUUAAUCGUUGAUUAUCAACGAUCAAACACCUAUGAUUUGCAAGUUCUCAUCAUCCCAAAACCCUGUAUUUUCUAAUUGCACAGAUAAAAAUUGAAUAUUUACCGAUUACAAACCCUAGAAUCUGCACGAACACCAAAUCAAAAAUUGCAAUUAAAAACCCUAAGUCAAAAAAAAUCAAAUCUUCUACUAGAAUCUGCACAUUAAAGCAAUCCCCCAUUACAAUCAAAAUAACAAAAUUUAUAAAUGAAUUAUCAGGUAUAUAAAAUUUAUCCUCUAGACCUAGUGAUGAUGUACUUAGAGCCUUGAAGGUUGUAAACAUUGAAGUAAAUAAAAAAAAAUCAAACUAGAAAUGUAAAAUAUAAAAAUAAAAUAAUUGAGAAACUUUUUGCUCUAUUAUUUUCUCAUUCCAUGAAAAUACAACGUCAAAUCCACCAUUGCCAGAAAUAAAACUAAGAUCUGAACAACAAAAAUAAAAAAUCCAAAUUCAUUUUACCCCAAAAGUUUCUUUUACCUUCUCCAACAACAAUCUGAACCAUUUACAUGGCCACUAUGGUAUGAAACAUCAAAACGAACCUCAGAUUUUUAGAGUUAAUAAUCAAUUAGAUGCAAAUCAAACAUUGAAAGUAAGAAGGAUUUUUUAGUGAAAUUGAGUGUUCGAAGUCGGAGGUGAAGGCUGAGGUAGAGGCGAACGAGGCGAUGGCGAUUGUGGUGGCGAUGGCGGAUCUGAAUGAGAAUUUGUGGCGGCAAACAAAUUUGUAUUGUGUUUUUGGGAGAGGAGAAGGAAGAAGAAGAGUAAAUCUUUUUUUUUGGUUUUUAGUUUUUUUUAUGUUGUGAUUCUAGAGGGAUCCGCUUGAAUGUUUGUCUAGUGUCAGUUCAGUCAAUAAAAAAUGGUCAGGUGUAACCCGAGUUAGUCAGGGGCACAACUAAUCUAAAAUUGGAAAUGUUAGGCGUAUUUUUGGGAGAAAAAAUAUAUAAGGUGAAAGUGGGACAUCAGAAAAAACGUCACAAAAUUUUUUAGACAUUUGCCCAACCAAUAUGUUUCUUUUACUAUUUCGUUUUACUAGAGCUGUAAGUAAGUAAUACCUACAUACUACUGUUACUCCAAAUUAAAAUAGAGUAAAACCUCUAUUUAGGAAUAGACUUGUGAUUAAAUUAUUUGUAUUAUAAUUGAGAGG
rnacentral:lncRNA from 1 species